UUCUUUUUUUUUCUUUCAUGGGUUUGGGGAUAGAGAAGACAACACAGCGCCGCCUCCCCCAUUUUUUAAUGCCUUUCUCAAUCUCUCCCUCCGCCUCGCACACUCCUAACCCCGGCGAGAUCAUCCCCGCCACCAUCGCAUCACCUCCAUCAAACGCCCCCAUGAAUGCCCUACAUACCCUCACACUCUUCUUCAGUGAACCAGUGAGCAGCGACGGCGAACAGCGAGCUCCGAAGCUCGCACGAUGAACAACAAGCAGCGCCGCUACUGCUGCUCCUCCACCUUCAACAAGCAGCAACAUCCGGACAGCAGCAACCUGCAGGAGACAGCAGCCCGCAGCAGCCAGCAAUUCUGACAGCAGCAAACACCAAACGCAGCUCGCAGCUCCAACCGGCAGCAGCUCCAGCGACCUCCUUCUCCAACGGCGAGCAGCAGCAGCCCACCGGCAGGCAACAUCAAUAAGAGCAUCGAUGCUCCAGCGAACUCCGACCAGCAAUCAAUCGACCCUUCAAAACUCGAGAUUCAAGUGUGUACUUUGAGAUCUAAUUCAUCUUAGAGACGAAUCUGUAAGAUCCGUCCCAGGUUGAAUCGUUGGUCUUCUACCCUGAAAUCCCACUGCUCGCAGUUCCAAGAUAUGGGUUGGCUUGCCUACUUGUGGGUCGUAGUAGGCUCCAUCAUGAUCUAAGAAAUCGGGUGGUAAUAAGCUAGUAUCAGAAUAAAGUUCACCGGUCUCACUUAUAUAAAGCUAACAUCUAGUAGAGUCCUGCGGAUCAGCGUGGAAAAAUCUAUUACUUAUCUUCGGGAGGCUAUAGGAUGUCUUUAGGAAGGAUGGCUCACACGCGUGCUGGAAGUAGGGUCCGACCUCAGGGACAUACCAAGGCUGCAAAACCAGCGCGGGACCAAGAGAAAACUGUGGAGAUAGAGGUGGAUCCACCAGCAGCUCCAGUAUAUUAGCAGUCAGUAGGCCAGAAACUAGCCCAACCACCGCCUGAGCCAAUUGCAGCUCCGAACUUACAGGCGAUGUUCUCCCAGAUUUUGGUGGCUAUUGGGGAUAAGUAGCAGGCCCUAGCUCCCGUCGUUCUAGUACCGCAGG